AACGAACGCUGGCGGCAUGCCUAACACAUGCGAGUCGAACGAGACCUUCGGGUCUAGUGGCGCACGGGUGCGUAACGCGUGGGAACCUGCCCUUAGGUUCGGAAUAACUCCCCGAAAGGGGUGCUAAUACCGGAUAAUGUCUUCGGACCAAAGGUUUAUCGCCUUUGGAUGGGCCCGCGUUGGAUUAGCUAGUUGGUAGGGUAAAAGCCUACCAAGGCGACGAUCCAUAGCUGGUCUGAGAGGAUGAUCAGCCACACUGGGACUGAGACACGGCCCAGACUCCUACGGGAGGCAGCAGUGGGGAAUAUUGGACAAUGGGCGAAAGCCUGAUCCAGCAAUGCCGCGUGAGUGAUGAAGGCCUUAGGGUUGUAAAGCUCUUUUACCCGGGAUGAUAAUGACAGUACCGGGAGAAUAAGCUCCGGCUAACUCCGUG
rnacentral:rRNA from 1 species